rnacentral:lncRNA from 1 species
CUUUGGAACAUGGUACAUCAGCGCCUCUUAGCCCUUGGAUGAUGCCACGUCAAUUAACGAAAAUCAUCCAAGUGCUCUUGAUUUUUGUUAUUUUUAUUAUUUCUGUUUUAUUUCUUUUAAUUCCUUUUAAUUUCAAAAAUUCAUAACUAUUUUAUUUGAAGUCACAAAAAUAUGAGAUCAAUGGCAAAAAAUUUCUUGAAAAAUC